CGAUAACGAACGAGACCUUAACCUGCUAAAUAGCCAGGUCAGCUUUGGCUGGUUUCCAUAAUGAAAGAGACCUUAACCUGCUAAAUAGCCAGGCCAGCCUUGGCUGGUCGCCGGCUUCUUAGAGGGACUAUCGGCUCAAGCCGAUGGAAGUUUGAGGCAAUAACAGGUCUGUGAUGCCCUUAGAUGUUCUGGGCCGCACGCGCGCUACACUGACGGAGCCAACGAGUAAAUCAUCCUUGGCCGAGAGGCCUGGGCAAUCUUGUUAAACUCCGUCGUGCUGGGGAUAGAGCAUUGCAAUUAUGGUUCUUCAACGAGGAAUGCCUAGUAAGCGCAAAUCAUCAGUUUGCUUUAAUUACUUCCCUGCCCUUUGUACACCCCGCCCGUCGCUACUCCCGAUUGAAUGGUAAUUACGUCCCUGCCCUUUGUACACACCGCCCGUCGCUACUACCGAUUGAAUGGCUA
rnacentral:rRNA from 1 species